rnacentral:rRNA from 1 species
UGGGGAAUAUUGGACAAUGGGCGAAAGCCUGAUCCAGCCAUGCCGCGUGUGUGAAGAAGGUCUUCGGAUUGUAAAGCACUUUAAGUUGGGAGGAAGGGCAUUAACCUAAUACGUUAGUGUUUUGACGUUACCGACAUAAUAAGCACCGGCUAACUCUGUGCCAGCAGCCGCGGUAAUACAGAGGGUGCAAGCGUUAAUCGGAAUUACUGGGCGUAAAGCGCGCGUAGGUGGUUUGUUAAGUUGGAUGUGAAAUCCCCGGGCUCAACCUGGGAACUGCAUUCAAAACUGACUGACUAGAGUAUGGUAGAGGGUGGUGGAAUUUCCUGUGUAGCGGUGAAAUGCGUAGAUAUAGGAAGGAACACCAGUGGCGAAGGCGACCACCUGGACUAAUACUGACACUGAGGUGCGAAAGCGUGGGGAGCAAACA